GACGAACGCUGGCGGCGUGCUUAACACAUGCAAGUCGAACGGAAAGGCCCUGCUUUUGUGGGUUUCUCGAUUGGCGAACGGGUGAGUAACACGUGUGUAACCUGCCCUUGACUUUGGGAUAUCUUUAGGAAACUGGGGCUAUUAUCGGAUAUGAUCUCCUGCUGCAUGUCGGUGGUUGGUAAGUUUCGGCAGUUGUGGAUGGACUGGCGGCUUAUCAGCUUGUUGGUCGGGUAGUGGCUUACCAAGGCUUUGACGGGUAGCCUGCCUGAGAGGGUGAACGGCGACAAUGGGACUGAGAGACGGCCCAGACGCCUACGGGAGGCAGCAGGGGGGAAUAUUGCACAGUGGGCGGAAGCCUGAUGCAGAAACGCCGCGUGCGGGAUAACGGCCUUCGGGUGGUAAACCGAUUUGGACUGUGACGAAGAGUGAGUGACGGUAAUGGGUAAAGAAGCAACGGCUAACUACGUG
rnacentral:rRNA from 1 species